ensembl:lncRNA
GAGAGACGACGAAGACACCGGACAGUGAGGGUGUCAGGAGAGUGUGUACCUCUGCCUGGGCCGCAGACCAAAGCAGCCGCAGCGGGCGAGGACAAUCUUUUAGAUAGCUAGCAAUAAACUACCUUGAGACCGGACAACAAGAGGCUGUGGAGUUUUUCUUUGGAAGCGCGGGUUGGAGGAGAGACUUUACCACCACACGAGAGCCCCAAAUCAAUCCCGGGGUUCUCACACCUGGCGUCCCUGGCCGGGCAUCAACAAGAAGAAACAUCAAAACAGCCUCCAACCCUCAGCGGCAGAAAAGAAAACAAAAAAAGGAAAACAGCAGAGUGCACAAACUCUCCACAAGUUCCAAGAAGAGAGGGAAUGAGAAGCUCAAGAUAAGAACCUGACCUUCACCAAGACAACUCGUCUCGGGGACUUUCCAGGGAGGAGACGACCCAGAAGCGCGCCUGGGAUCUCUCACCUGUGACCUGCUGGACAGUGAACAGUGCCAUCUCCGGACCGACCUCGGGCUGACUCAGAUUUUGGUCAAGCAAUCAUUGAAAGAACACAUCACACCCUGAAAUCCCUCUUGGAUAAACAGAAAAGAGGGGAAGCAGGCGCAACACCGCACAUGCGGUUGAACAAAGCUCUGUAUGUAUUGAAUUUUUUAAAUGGUUCUUUCUCAGAACCCACUCCACCAAUUGUUAGGCACUUCACAAACAGCACACAAGCAAAGCUAAGGGAAAAUCCUUUAGUUUUGAUCAGAAAUCCAGAAUCGGGACAAAUUGAAGGUCCAUUUACAUUAAUAACUUGGGGCAAGGGUUUCGCUUGUGUUUCCACAGAGCGAGGACCGAAGUGGGUGUCGGCGAGGCACGUGAAACCUUAUCGGGUGCAGACGCAAGUGGACGUGGACCCGAGGAGCAGAGAAGCAAGCACGCAGACGAAGGCAGACGACGACGCAGACGUCACAUCAGACAACGACUGAUCACCCAGAGACUUGGGGGUUUUCUUUUCCUGAGAAAUCAAGUGUUGUUUGGGUGUUGCUGCAUUGCAGGGUCUCUCACAGAGGGUGGGGGCAUGGACAUGGGAUUCAGGCAGAUAGUGUUCAUGUGCUUCAUUCUCUUGCCUAUUGCCUUGGGCAAUUGGACAGACUUUCCCGUGAAACAACCAAAGGAAAAUGUGUGGGAAACUUUGGCAAAGGCAGCGGGUCUAGACAGCAUUUGUCUGACUCAUUCAAAGCCAGGAAAACCAUUUUCAACAUGUUUAGUAGGUGUGCCAGUGAAGGAAUGGCCAAUUCCAAAAGGCAUCCCUCCAGAGAUUCUGAAAACUUUUUCGGAUCCUGUGGAAGGAUGGCAAGUUUGGACACAGUACCUUCCUGUGGCUCACUUGGAACCUCCAGAAUUGGACAUUUUUGGAUCAACAAAAAUGAAAUGGUGCAUCAAAUUUAAUUCAUCAGGAGUGGCAAAGACAGAUAAUCAUACAAUAGAUGUCACUCCCAAUCAGCCUUUUUAUAAAAAUGCAUCAUCUUGGUGCAAUCACACAAAAAUAACAAGCAAACCAUCCCUUCAACACCCAGCCACUUUACCGAAGGGAAUGUUUUUCAUUUGCGGGGACAGAAUUUGGCCUGCUAUCCCUGCAAAAAUCAAGGGUGGUCCAUGCAGCAUCGGGGAACUCUCAUUGUUAACACCUGAUUUGAAAACUUUACAAAAGCAGACACACAGGGAAAAAAGAUCCCUUGAACAAUAUAGUCCAAAUUGUGAUGAUGAUGUUUCUACCUGGAACAAGGCUCAGAGAAUUGCAAUAGCAAUUUUCUCACCCCAAACAGCAUCAGGGGUGGCCUUGACACAAUUGGAUCAUAUAGCGUGUUGGUUGAGGAAACACAGCCGUGCCAUUUCGUUUGCACUGAGUGACAUGUUAACAGACAUCAACAGUGCAAGGCAAGCAGUGCUUCAAAACAGGGCGGCAAUUGAUUAUUUGCUGCUGACACAUGGGCACGGAUGUGAGGAAUUUGAGGGGAUGUGCUGCAUGAACUUGUCCGAUCAUUCAAAAUCUAUUCAUGAAAAUAUAAAACAAAUACAGAACAGUAUUAGCAAAUUGAACAGAGUUACAGGGUCCUGGUGGGAUAGUUUGUUUAACCUUUUUGAUAUCUCACCAUUGUGGAAAGAACUUUCAAAAAUAGCAUUUUAUAUUCUUAUAGGGCUUGUAGUUCUUCUGCUUGUUCUGCCAUGCAUUUUCGUGUGUAUUCGAAAGACCUUGAACAGCAUGGUAAAGCAGGUGUUUCUGGUUCAAACAGAGAGGGGAGAUGUCGGAACCCAAAAUGUCCCUCAGACAUUUUUAGAGGUUCCAGGCCUUGGUCAGAAGCAUUUUAGACCCUGGCAAGCAGCUGAAAACAGCUGUGAUUUUGAGUUUGAACCAUGGAAUGAAUUACCAACUUUGAGGGUGGAACAAGCAGUCACAGAAUGUUAGAUGGUAUAGUAAAAGUAGUCACAAAUUAGAGGGUAAAAUUUUUUAGUGUUGUACAGGGGGGUUUUAGUACCUGUACAGGGGGGUUUUCACUUUGUACAGGGGGGUCAGGAGUUCUAAGAUGGAUGAAAGUGGUCCUUAUCUUAUUCUUCCUCCUUCUUCUUCCUUACCUCCAUGUUCUUGGUGAUGCUGGCAUUCACAGAUUGGUUUAGAGUAGAAAAGCACAUUGUAACGUAGAUAGUAGGUAUUGGGGAAAAUCUAUAAACAUAUAGUACGUAAUAUAUCAUAUAAAAGAUAGUAGCAGCUUUGGGCGGGGAGAGACGACGAAGACACCGGACAGUGAGGGUGUCAGGAGAGUGUGUACCUCUGCCUGGGCCGCAGACCAAAGCAGCCGCAGCGGGCGAGGACAAUCUUUUAGAUAG